AGUGAACGCUGGCGGUAGGCCUAACACAUGCAAGUCGAACGGCAGCACAGUAAGAGCUUGCUCUUACGGGUGGCGAGUGGCGGACGGGUGAGGAAUACAUCGGAAUCUACUUUUUCGUGGGGGAUAACGUAGGGAAACUUACGCUAAUACCGCAUACGACCUACGGGUGAAAGCAGGGGAUCUUCGGACCUUGCGCGAUUGAAUGAGCCGAUGUCGGAUUAGCUAGUUGGCGGGGUAAAGGCCCACCAAGGCGACGAUCCGUAGCUGGUCUGAGAGGAUGAUCAGCCACGCUGGAACUGAGACACGGUCCAGACUCCUACGGGAGGCAGCAGUGGGGAAUAUUGGACAAUGGGCGCAAGCCUGAUCCAGCCAUACCGCGUGGGUGAAGAAGGCCUUCGGGUUGUAAAGCCCUUUUGUUGGGAAAGAAAAGCAGCAGGUUAAUACCCCGCUGUUCUGACGGUACCCAAAGAAUAAGCACCGGCUAACUUCG
rnacentral:rRNA from 1 species